UCUUUAAAAAAAUAAUUAAAGAGAGAUCAUUUAAUUAUUUUAUGAUGUCUUUACGAUGGGACAGCGACAUGUCCUCAAUCCUUUUGCAGCUGCAUCUGCUCCCUCUAACCUCAAGAGGCCAGAAAAAAAUAUCCAAGAUCAGUUCAGCUCAAGCAACCAGCCAUCUUGUGAGCUGUCUUAAGGAAGGAGCCAGUGUGAAUACCUUCAUUGAGAGUGCUGACACAAGACAACCAUUUCUCCUCUGCAUCGGUGAGCGAAAGAAGGAUAUCCCAAAGUUCUACGUUAUUAUCGACCAAAAGGCGAUCCCAUGUAAGGCGCACACAUCAGUGGCAGCUUUUGAUGAACUGUUCAAAGCUCACUAUGUCUUCAGUUUCUGAUAUGAUGAAGCUCUUUGUGAUUUCUACACAUUUAUCCAAACCACUAUAUAUAACAUCGAUGUCGGAAGAGCAAUGGAGAGCCUGCGUGUUAAAGAACUUCGAGCAUGAUUGCUGCAGCGAGAUUAACUGCCUUGAAGAUGUUCACAUGUUUUGUAUGUAAAGCACACCUUAGAACUUGUUUGGUUCUUCGUCAACAUUUAAAAUUUCAACAUGGUUUAUAUCCUAGCAAAAAGUUACAUUUAAAAUGUG